GGAAGGGCUGUAGCACAGUGGUAGAGCAUUUGCCUUGCAUGCAAAAGGCCUUGGGUUCAAUCCCAGGCAUUUCCA